rnacentral:rRNA from 1 species
GUAUCCUGUCUGAAUAUGGGGGGACCAUCCUCCAAGGCUAAAUACUCCUGACUGACCGAUAGUGAACCAGUACCGUGAGGGAAAGGCGAAAAGAACCCCGGCGAGGGGAGUGAAAAAGAACCUGAAACCGUGUACGUACAAGCAGUGGGAGCCCCACCACUAAGCCAGUGGUGAACUCCACAUACGCAUCCUUUGCUGAGGAUACGGUUAACGGAGCGAAAGCGACGUUCAACCKCAAAAGAAGCAGAGGGGGCUUAGUGGUGGGGUGACUGCGUACCUUUUGUAUAAUGGGUCAGCGACUUAUAUUCUGUAGCAAGGUUAACCGUAUAGGGGAGCCGCAGGGAAACCGAGUCUUAACCGGGCGUUAAGUUGCAGGGUAUAGACCCGAAACCCGGUGAUCUAGCCAUGGGCAGGUUGAAGGUUGGGUAACACUAACUGGAGGACCGAACCGACUAAUGUUGAAAAAUUAGCGGAUGACCUGUGGCUGGGGGUGAAAGGCCAAUCAAACCGGGAGAUAGCUGGUUCUCCCCGAAAGCUAUUUAGGUAGCGCCUCGUGAAYUCAUCUCCGGGGGUAGAGCACUGUUUCGGCUAGGGGGCCAUCCCGGCUUACCAACCCGAUGCAAACUGCGAAUACCGGAGAAUGUUAUCACGGGAGACACACGGCGGGUGCUAACGUCCGUCGUGAAGAGGGAAACAACCCAGACCGCCAGCUAAGGUCCCAAAGUCAUGGUUAAGUGGGAAACGAUGUGGGAAGGCCCAGACAGCCAGGAUGUUGGCUUAGAAGCAGCCAUCAUUUAAAGAAAGCGUA